UUGUCGACGGCGCCGGCGGAGAUGGCCGCUCGGGGCCGCCCCACCCCUCUGUGCCCUCUCGUGGCGGCAGCGGCGGCGCUGUGGCUGCUGGUUACGCCAGGUCAUUGCCUGCGAUGCAUCCAAUGCGUGCCCACCUACACCGGGACCGGCUACAACGAAUUGAACUGGUCUCUCUGCGAGCGGUACCAGCCCGGCCUGCCGGGCUUCACAACCGAGUGCAACGACACCUGUAUCGAGGAGCUCAUCUACAGUCCUCCGGAUGGCGAAGCAACGCCCAAAGCCAGCGGCUUGCUGCGCACCUGUGGCGACCUGGUGGAGGUGAACGGGGACCGCUGCCAGCCGCUGGAUGACGGCAAACACCUGUGCUCGUGCACCUCGGACUUGUGCAACGUCGGGCUGCUGCCGACGCAGUCAGCGCCGGCAGCAGCAGCAGUCGGCGGCGGUCCCAGCUGGUGGUGGCUGAUGGCCGUGCCGGGGUCACUCGCCGCCGUGAUGGUGCUGGUGCUGGCGGUGAAGGUGCGCCGAAGGCGGCGCGCCAACGGACGGUACGAGACGACCGCCGACGGUCUGGGCCGGCCACGGACGGUGUGAGGUGAAGGUGCGCCCAAGGCGGCGCGCCAACGGGCGGUCCGAGACGACCGCCGACGGUCUGGGCCGGCCACGGACGGUGUGAGGCAUCGCGAGUCUACCGGCACGUGCAAGACUGUGUGAGGGGAUGUAGAGGAGGGGUGCGGGGACGCAGGGCUGUGGUGUGUUACAUGAUACAAGGCCGUGACCUGGAGGGGGAUGAAGCGCAAAU